rnacentral:rRNA from 1 species
UCCUACGGGGGGCAGCAGUGGGGGAUAUUGGACAAUGGGGGGAACCCUGAUCCAGCGACGCCGCGUGAGUGAAGAAGUAUUUCGGUAUGUAAAGCUCUGUCAGCAGGGAAGAAAGCAAUGACGGUACCUGACCAAGAAGCCCCGGCUAACUACGUGCCAGCAGCCGCGGUAAUACGUAGGGGGCAAGCGUUAUCCGGAUUUACUGAGUGUAAAGGGAGCGCAGGCGGCAUGGCAAGUCAGAUGUGAAAGCCCGGGGCUCAACCCCGGGACUGCAUUUGAAACUGUCAGGCUGGAGUGCAGGAGAG